UACAGAGGGUGCAAGCGUUAAUCGGAAUUACUGGGCGUAAAGCGUGCGUAGACGGUUACAUAAGUCGGGUGUGAAAGCCCCGGGCUCAACCUGGGAAUGCCAUUCGAGACUGCAUAGCUAGGGUGCGGAAGAGGGAAGCGGAAUUUCCGGUGUAGCGGUGAAAUGCGUAGAUAUCGGAAGGAACACCAGUGGCGAAAGCGGCUUCCUGGUCCAGCACCGACGUCAGGCACGAAAGCGUGGGGAGCAAACAGG
rnacentral:rRNA from 1 species